UGGGGAAUAUUGCACAAUGGGCGAAAGCCUGAUGCAGCAACGCCGCGUGAGGGACGACGGCCUUCGGGUUGUAAACCUCUUUUAGCAAGGAAGAAGCGAAAGUGACGGUACUUGCAGAAAAAGCGCCGGCUAACUACGUGCCAGCAGCCGCGGUAAUACGUAGGGCGCAAGCGUUAUCCGGAAUUAUUGGGGCGUAAAGAGCUCGUAGGCGGUUUGUCGCGUCUGCUGUGAAAACCCGAGGCUCAACCUCGGGCCUGCAGUGGGUACGGGCAGACUAGAGUGCGGUAGGGGAGAUUGGAACUCCUGGUGUAGCGGUGGAAUGCGCAGAUAUCAGGAAGAACACCGAUGGCGAAGGCAGAUCUCUGGGCCGUAACUGACGCUGAGGAGCGAAAAGGGUGGGGAGCAAACAGGCUUAGAUACCCUGGUAGUCCACCCCGUAAACGUUUGGGAAACUAGUUGUGGGGUCCAUUCCACGGAUUCCGUGACGCAGCUAACGCAUUAAGUUCCCCGCCUGGGGAGUACGGCCGCAAGGCUAAAAACUC
rnacentral:rRNA from 1 species